rfam:Asian citrus Psyllid, Diaphorina citri - Florida Strain, whole genome shotgun sequence.
GCCUCUGUGGCUGAGUGGUUGGAAGCACUGACUCUCAACCCGGAAAUGCUGGAUUCGAAUCCCGAUAGAGGCG